rnacentral:rRNA from 1 species
GACGAACGCUGGCGGCGUGCUUAACACAUGCAAGUUGAGCGGUAAGGCCCUUUCGGGGGUACACGAGCGGCGAACGGGUGAGUAACACGUGGGUGACCUGCCCUCAGCUCUGGGAUAAGCCUGGGAAACCGGGUCUAAUACUGGAUAUGACUCCAUGACGCAUGUUGUGGGGUGGAAAGCCUUGUGCGGCUGAGGAUGGGCCCGCGGCCUAUCAGCUUGUUGGUGGGGUGANGGCCUACCAAGGCGACGACGGGUAGCCGGCCUGAGAGGGCGACCGGCCACACUGGGACUGAGACACGGCCCAGACUCCUACGGGAGGCAGCAGUGGGGAAUCUUGCGCAAUGGGCGAAAGCCUGACGCAGCGACGCCGCGUGAGGGAUGACGGCCUC